GUCUAGGACCUCUGGGUGGUCGCGCUGUUUCCCGGCCAAUGCACCAAAUGAAAGAGCCUCGAGGUGAGACCCUCACUCAGACACUCAAAUCCCGGGACAGCCGCGUACCCAAGAAGACACUGAGACCA
rnacentral:pre_miRNA from 7 species